AGUAGAUUGGGAAACUCGUCAAUUAUAUAUGAAAUGCCGAGAAAAGCUCACCAACCGAUGGCGGGCCUCAGCCGAAAACCUUGUUUCCGGAGCCUUUGAGCCGGAGGAUUACAAAGGGUGGCGAGCUCUCAAAUCCUAUUUUUAUCGGAGUUUCAUCGCAUCCUUUGAUGUGGCUCUU
rnacentral:sRNA from 1 species